rnacentral:tRNA from 1 species
GAUGUCAAGAUGAACCCUAAAAAGUUCCAUAGGCACAAAGG